CACUGACAUUAGAUACCCGUGUAGUCCCAGCCGUAAACGACGCGCGUUAGGUGUAUCGACGACCACGAGUCGUCGAGGUGCCGAAGGGAAACCGUGAAACGUGCCGCCUGGGAAGUACGGUCGCAAGGCUGAAACUUAAAGGAAUUGGCGGGGGAGCACCACAACAGGUGGAGCCUGCGGUUUAAUUGGACUCAACGCCGGAAAUCUCACCGGAUAAGACAGCGGAAUGAUUGCCGGGCUGAAGACUCUGCAUGACUAGCUG
rnacentral:rRNA from 1 species